CUCCUGGAAACGGGUGGUAAUGCCGGAUGCUCCAGUUGAUCGCAUGGUCUUCUGGGAAAGCUUUCGCGGUAUGGGAUGGGGUCGCGUCCUAUCAGCUUGACGGCGGGGUAACGGCCCACCGUGGCUUCGACGGGUAGCCGGCCUGAGAGGGCGACCGGCCACAUUGGGACUGAGAUACGGCCCAGACUCCUACGGGAGGCAGCAGUGGGGAAUAUUGCACAAUGGGCGCAAGCCUGAUGCAGCGACGCCGCGUGAGGGAUGGAGGCCUUCGGGUUGUAAACCUCUUUUAUCGGGGAGCAAGCGAGAGUGAGUUUACCCGUUGAAUAAGCACCGGCUAACUACGUGCCAGCAGCCGCGGUAAUACGUAGGGUGCAAGCGUUAUCCGGAAUUAUUGGGCGUAAAGGGCUCGUAGGCGGUUCGUCGCGUCCGGUGUGAAAGUCCAUCGCUUAACGGUGGAUCCGCGCCGGGUACGGGCGGGCUUGAGUGCGGUAGGGGAGACUGGAAUUCCCGGUGUAACGGUGGAAUGUGUAGAUAUCGG
rnacentral:rRNA from 3 species